GUUUCUUUAUUUCACAGCCCAGCUUGCCCUGCCAGAUGAAAGAUCUUCGGAGCGUCUCCUCAGUCCUCAUGGCUGCAAAAUAACUAAAACGGGGGAAACGAAACUAGGUUUCAGCAACUGAAAAUUGAACUUCAAAUCCUAAUUUAAUGGCAGGUUCCACUGGCGGCACCGGUUCUUCCAGUCCCUCACCGGCCCCUCCGGCUCCUAAAAUUCUAUUGGCUAAGCCUGGACUGGUUACCCCUGGACCGGUGGUAGGCAAAUUUGGACGCGGCGGUGCCGAAGACGAAACGUUGCCACAUCGGUCUCGUCUGCCUGCAAUUCAGUCUCUCAAUAUCCUCUCUGAUUCCUGGGAAUUCCACAUCGAUCGCUUUCUCCCUUUUCUGACUGAGAAUAUAGAUUUCACUGUGAUUGGGGUAAUUGGACCACCUGGGGUUGGCAAGUCCACCAUCAUGAAUGAGCUAUAUGGUUUUGAUGCGGGUUCACCCGGAAUGUUGCCACCAUUUAGUAGACAGUCAGAAGAUAACAGAGCAAUGGCAAGACAUUGUAGCGAAGGCAUUGAACCAAGGAUAUCUGCUGAGCGACUUAUACUUCUAGAUACCCAGGAAUUGCCUUUUGGAUGGAAAUUUGUUGAAGGCACGGAUGGGUUGAAUAUGCAGAAAAGGAUUGGUAUAAUUCUUCUCAAGUGCUGCCAGAAUAGCAUGUUUGGCUUUAUUUCAUAAUUGAUCACACAAGGGAUGAGCUCCUGAUGCUAAAACGUAAGAGGUAUGGGGAUGAGCAUAAGGAGAAUCUCUUUGGGGAAGGUGAGGAGUAUAUAUACCAUUCCAAAGGACAUGCUCUCAAUCUUGAUCAAAAAGACUGGACCAGGUACCUUCAAUUCGUGGAAAUUCAACGGUUGCCCGGGUCUGUAAAUUUUGGGCCAGACAGACAAGUUAUUGAAAAAGUCUUGGAAUUGGGUCGAGAUUUUGGCUACUCCACUGUUGUCAGACAUCUCGAGCGCGUUCCCGGGGUCAGAAUCGGCAUAGGUUUUGUAGGUCCUAGGCGUGGGGGAUACUCUGUUGGAUUUUCGGCAUGAUUUAGGACAUCUUUGGUCUUUUCUUAGUUUGUAUUGAGUCAAAUGUAUUAAAUAAUUAUAAUAAAAUUGUAAGGUGAGCUGGGACAGCAAUCCUCACCACAGUGACUUCGGUUGAGUUUAUGAGUAAAAUAUUAAUUUUAAUUGUAAUUUCGAUAUUACUAUAUGUUCAAGCAUACCUAUGCAUCAAUUGUAAAUAUGUAUCAAUGUAGUUAAACACUAGGCACGUUUUACAUUGCAUUCAUAAAUGUUGAAGUGCAAUGGAUAUUGUUUGUGGUAA